CAGGGGGAGAGUGAGAAAGAGAGUGAGAUCGACCUGUUAAGUUGGUUACCAAUGCCAGGCCCGGAAGCAGACCCAACAGAAAAAGUUAGCCUUGCCACCGAGCAUGUUUCAUCCACUCCAGAACAAUCUAGUCCGCUGCAUGAGCCUAUAUCUUCUCCGCCACUGAUAUCUGAGGUAAGAUCUUCUGAACCUACUAUUGUGGCU
rnacentral:lncRNA from 1 species